UAAAGUUGAAAAACCAUAACACCAGUUAAAUAGCCCCGGUAACUCUGACCGUGAUAAAGUAGCAUAAUCAUUUGUCAUUUAAUUGGUGACUAGAAUGAAUGGUUAAACGAAUCUCUAGCUGUCUCAACAAGAAAUAGAACAAAAUUAAAAUUACAGUGAAGAUGCUGUGAAUAAAUUGCAAGACGAAAAGACCCUAUUGAGCUUUACUGGAUGUUUGUGAACUUUUCUCAUCAUAAUAAUAUAAGUGACCUAUAAAGCAAAUAAGACAGUUUGGUUGGGGCGACCACCUCUAAAAUAGUAACAGAGGAGAUCUAAAGGUUAAAUUUAUGAAUACUAACUUUACUGAAAUAAUAAUAGUUUAAUCAGUUACUCACUAAGUAGGACAUAAUGACCCGCUAUUUUUUAUGUAAAAAAUAACGAUUACAGAAUAAGUUACCAUAGGGAUAACAGGGUAAUAGUUUUCAAGAGUUCAUAUCGACGAAACUGUUUGCCACCUCGAUGUUGAAUUGUGAUAUCCUAA
rnacentral:rRNA from 1 species